GAUUAAGCCAUGCAUGUCUAAGUACAUGCCGUAUUAAGGCGAAACCGCGAAUGGCUCAUUAAAUCAGUUGUGGUUCCUUAGAUCGUACCUUACUACUUGGAUAACUGUGGUAAUUCUAGAGCUAAUACAUGCAGCAGAGCUCCGACCCUUGCGGGGACGAGCGCUUUUAUUAGACCAAGACCAAUCGGACCUCGGUCCGCUUAGUGUGGCGACUCUGUAUAACUUUGGGCUGAUCGCACGGGCUCGACCCGGCGACGCAUCUUUCAAGUGUCUGCCCUAUCAACUGUCGAUGGUAGGUUACGCGCCUACCAUGGUUGUGACGGGUAACGGGGAAUCAGGGUUCGAUUCCGGAGAGGGAGCCUGAGAAACGGCUACCACAUCCAAGGAAGGCAGCAGGCGCGCAAAUUACCCAAUCCCGGCUCGGGGAGGUAGUGACGAAAAAUAACGAUACGGGACUCUUUUGAGACCCCGUAAUCGGAAUGAGAACGAUUUAAAUCCUUUAACGAGGAACGACUGGAGAGUAAGUCUUGUGCCAGCAAUCGCGGUAAGUCAAGCUCCAGUAGCGUAUAUUAGAGUUGUUGCGGUUAAAAAGCUCGUAGUUGGAUCUCAGUUCCAGACGGAUCGUCUGCCUAACGGCGGUUACUGUCCGGCCUGAACAAUCAGCCGGUUUCCCUCGAUGAUCUUCGUUGGUUGUCCCGGGUGACCGGCGCGUUUACUUUGAAAAAAUUAGAGUGCUCAGGGCAGGCUAAGUAAGCCCGAAUAUUUGUGCAUGGAAUAAUGGAAUAGGACCUCUGUUCUAUUGUGUUGGUUUUCGGAACGCGAGGUAAUGAUAAGAGGGACAGACGGGGGCAUCCGUAUUGCGGCGCUAGAGGUGAAAUUCUUGGACCGCGCACGACGAACUACUGCGAAAGCAUUUGCCAAGAAUGUUUCCAUUAAUCAAGAACGAAAGUUAGAGGAUUGAAGGCGAUCAGAUACCGCCCUAAUUCUAACCAUAAACGAUGCCAACCAGCGAUCCGCCUGGGUUCCUCAAAUGACUCGGCGGGCAGCUUCCGGGAAACCAAAGUCUUUGGGUUCCGGGGGGAGUAUGGUUGCAAAACUCAAACUUAAAGACAUUGACGGAAGCGCACACAAGGAGUGGAUCGUGCGGCUUAAUUUGACUCAACACGGGCACACCUUACCCGACUCGGAGGCUGGGAGGAUUGACAGAUUGAUAGCUCUUUCUUGAUUCAGCUAAUCGUGGUGCAUGGUCGUUCUUAGUUGGUGGGGCGACUUGUCUGGUCCAUUCCGAUAACGAGCGAGACUCUAGCCUGCUAAAUAGGCGCUCCGAUUCUAUUUGCCGUCGGGCGCGUAUCUUCUUAGAGGGACGGGCGGCUUCCAGCCGCACGAGUCAGAGCGAUAACAGGUCAGUGAUGCCUUUAGACAGCCGGGGCCGCACGCGCGCUACAAUGAAGGAGGCAGCGUGUGCUCUCCCUGUCCGGUAGGAUUGGGUAAUCCGUUGAAAAUCCUUCGUGAUUGGGAUCGAUCCUUGUAAUUGGAUCGUGAACGAGGAAUUCCUAGUAAGCGCGAGUCAUUAGCUCGCGUUGAUUACGUCCCUGCGCUUUGUGCACACCGCCCGUCGAUGUUUUCGAUUGGACGGUGUAGUGAGGUCUUCGGACUGGCGCUCGGUGCGGUUUUUGCCGCGUCGAAGUGCAGGAAAGAUGCCCGAACUUGACCGUCUAGAGAAAGCACAAGUCG
rnacentral:rRNA from 1 species